rnacentral:rRNA from 1 species
UACGGAGGAUGCAAGCGUUAUCCGGAAUGAUUGGGCGUAAAGGGUCCGCAGGCGGCAAUGUAAGUCUGCUGUCAAAGAAUGAGGCUUAACCUCAUCAAGGCAGUGGAAACUACAUAGCUAGAGUACGGUCGGGGUAGAAGGAAUUCCUGGUGUAGCGGUGAAAUGCGUAGAGAUCAGGAAGAACACCGGUGGCGAAAGCGUUCUGCUAGACCUGUACUGACACUGAGGGACGAAAGCUAGGGGAGCGAAUGGG